GCAUAUCAAUAAGCGGAGGAAAAGAAACCAACAGGGGAUUGCCCCUAGUAACGGCGAGUGAAGCGGCAACAGCUCAAAUUUGAAAUCUGGCUUUCGGGCCCGAGUUGUAAUUUGUAGAGGAUGAUUUUGAUGCGGUGCCUUCCGAGUUCCCUGGAACGGGACGCCAUAGAGGGUGAGAGCCCCGUCUGGUUGGAUGCCAAAUCUCUGUAAAUCUCCUUCGACGAGUCGAGUAGUUUGGGAAUGCUGCUCUAAAUGGGAGGUAUAUGUCUUCUAAAGCUAAAUACCGGCCAGAGACCGAUAGCGCACAAGUAGAGUGAUCGAAAGAUGAAAAGCACUUUGAAAAGAGAGUUAAAAAGUACGUGAAAUUGUUGAAAGGGAAGCGUUUAUGACCAGACUUGGGCUUGGUUAAUCAUCUGGGGUUCUCUCCAGUGCACUUUUCCAGUCCAGGCCAGCAUCAGUUUUCGCCGGGGGAUAAAGGCUUCGGGAAUGUGGCUCCCCUCGGGGAGUGUUAUAGCCCGUUGUGUAAUACCCUGGUGGGGACUGAGGUUCGCGCUUCUGCAAGGAUGCUGGCGUAAUGGUCAUCAACGACCCGUCUUGAAACACGGACCAAGGAGUCGUCUUCGUAUGCGAGUGUUCGGGUGUCAAACCCCUACGCGUAAUGAAAGUGAACGCAGGUGAGAGCUUCGGCGCAUCAUCGACCGAUCCUGAUGUUCUCGGAUGGAUUUGAGUAAGAGCAUACGGGGCCGGACCCGAAAGAAGGUGAACUAUGCCUGUGUAGGGUGAAGCCAGAGGAAACUCUGGUGGAGGCUCGCAGCGGUUCUGACGUGCAAAUCGAAUCGUCAAACAUGGGCAUGGGGCGAAAGACUAAUCAAACCUUCUAGUAGCUGGUUUCCGCCGAG
rnacentral:rRNA from 1 species